GGGAAGGUGGCUCAGUGGUAGAGUGCUUGCCUCACGUGCAUGAGGCCCUGGGUUCGAUUCCUCACCACCACA
rfam:Dipodomys ordii contig_39950, whole genome shotgun sequence.